UUUACCUGACACCAGUCAGAGAUGAAGAAGCAGAAUCUCAAAGAAGGGCAAAAUCUCGUCAUGCAAGACAGACCCGCAGGUCAACGCAGGGUGUGACUCUGACUGACUUAAAAGAGGCUCAGAAGAUCAGCAGCCGUUCUGAGGAGUCUCUGCUGGAAGAGAAAGUCGAGAAUAACUCAACAGAAGCCAAAAUCAUCUCAAGAUGGAGCAACACUGAUGAGCAGGGGAACAUUAGAGCCACGUUACAAAGUGUGGCUGAGUUCACUGAGCCCCGUGGUCGGCCUUCACCCUCCAUCGCGAGCGUCAACUUCUUCAGAG